rnacentral:rRNA from 1 species
UACGGAGGGGGCUAGCGUUGUUCGGAAUUACUGGGCGUAAAGCGCGCGUAGGCGGUUUUCCAAGUUGGAGGUGAAAUCCCGGGGCUUAACCCCGGAACUGCCUUCAAAACUGGAUGACUAGAAGCCGAGAGAGGUAAGGGGAAUUCCUAGUGUAGAGGUGAAAUUCGUAGAUAUUAGGAAGAACACCAGUGGCGAAGGCGCCUUACUGGCUCGGUCUUGACGCUGAGGUGCGAAAGUGUGGGGAGCAAACAGG